AUUGAACGCUGGCGGCAUGCCUUACACAUGCAAGUCGAACGGCAGCGGACCUUCGGGUGCCGGCGAGUGGCGAACGGGUGAGUAAUAUAUCGGAACGUACCUUUCAGUGGGGGAUAACGUAGCGAAAGUUACGCUAAUACCGCAUAUUCUGUGAGCAGGAAAGCAGGAGAUCGCAAGACCUUGCGCUGAUUGAGCGGCCGAUAUCAGAUUAGCUAGUUGGUGAGGUAAAGGCUCACCAAGGCGACGAUCUGUAGCGGGUCUGAGAGGAUGAUCCGCCACACUGGAACUGAGACACGGUCCAGACUCCUACGGGAGGCAGCAGUGGGGAAUUUUGGACAAUGGGCGCAAGCCUGAUCCAGCCAUGCCGCGUGAGUGAAGAAGGCCUGGUUGUAAGACGUCUUCGUCCGGAGAAAGACGACGACAGUAAGUACCUACGUGUGGAUGACGGUACCGGAACGUAAGAAAGAC
rnacentral:rRNA from 1 species